UACGUAGGGGGCUAGCGUUGUCCGGAAUCAUUGGGCGUAAAGAGCGUGUAGGCGGCCAGAUAAGUCCGCUGUGAAAUCUCGAGGCUCAACUUCGAGCUGUCGGUGGAAACUAUCUGGCUAGAGUCCGGAAGAGGAGAAUGGAAUUCCUGGUGUAGCGGUGAAAUGCGCAGAUAUCAGGAAGAACACCCGUGGCGAAGGCAGCUCGCUGGAACGGUACUGACGCUGAGGCGCGAAAGCGUGGGGAGCGAACAGG
rnacentral:rRNA from 1 species